CGGGUGAGUAAUACAUAGGAAUCUGCCCAGUAGCGGGGGACAACUCGGAGAAAUCCGAGCUAAUACCGCAUACGCCCUACGGGGGAAAGCAGGGGAUCUUCGGACCUUGCACCAUUGGAUGAGCCUAUGUCAGAUUAGCUUGUUGGUGGGGUAACGGCCUACCAAGGCGACGAUCUGUAGCUGGUCUGAGAGGACGAUCAGCCACACUGGGACUGAGACACGGCCCAG
rnacentral:rRNA from 1 species